AACAAAGCCAUAAGAAUGUGAGAUAACUUUAUUCAUCAAUCCAUUUCAUCAUAUCAUGCAACAUUGACCUGUCCAGUCAAUUAGAACUUGAAACAAAAAUUACAUCAAUUGUGGUUAGCUUUAUAAUUUAUAAAUAUAUCGAAGAAAAGAAAAGAUCCUGCAGAUAUAAUUCUAGUUUUCUAAAUCAGAAAUAAACUCUAGCGAUUCUAAUUAAGACGAUCGACAAAUUGCUUGAGAAGCGAUUCCGUGAUGAAAUUGUAAGCUGCUUCAAUGGGAUGAACGCUAUCCCAAAACAUAAAUUUUGAUGGGUUUUCACAUAUUGCACUUGUUUUACUGUUACAUAGAGGUCCUGCUUCCGCCAUCCCAGUACCACAGCAGCCUACGUUAACGUGCUCAAAACCUGUUCGAGAAAAUGUCCCAACGAGAAAAUUCAGGUAAGGAUGCGAUUCGAUACUUGGUUGUGUCCUUAAAUGAUUUAUUGGCUUACCGUAAUUGUGAGGAUUAUUGACCAUGUCGAUGAGGGGAGUGUAAAUGUCACCAUAUAGAAUUGUGCUUCCAGGAAGCUGUGGCUGUAAAUUGCUAAGCAGAUGUGCAAGCUUCUGAUUGUAGGCUUUGAAAUCUGAGUUUUGUUCUUCCAAACAUUUUCGAUCUUGGGGUUUUUGAAAUGCUAUGCUCUCUUGAAUGGGAAGGCAACCAACUGGAGGAAGCCCAGCUACCACUAUAGUGCGACAUCCAAGUUGCACAAACACUUCAUAUUGGGCAAAGUGUUCGUGUCAAACACAUACAUGUCCGGACAUGCUUCGGGUACGUGCCCGACAAGCAAAUUUGUGUGUCCUAUUAUUUAUUUAUUAAUUUCAUACGCGUGGGACAUAUUUAGGAUAGGCCAACUUUUCAUGUUAGACUCAAGUUUAAAGCUCAAAUCAAUAAUAUGUUAAAUUUAAGGUAACCCCAUUUCUUUUAACCAAAAAAAGAAAAGUAAAUUUGAAACCUAAACAUUUCAUCUCCUAUAAUUAUUGAUUAACUUGGCAUUUUAUGAUUUUUUAAGUGGAGUUGCAUUUAGUAUUUUAUAUGCUAAAUUUAUAUACAUGCUAAAAAAGUAACAAUAAAAAGAGUCGUGUCCAUGUUUGUGCAUCUUAGUCGUUCUUUAUUUUUAUGUCAAAUAUUGAUUUAGAACUAUGGAGAAUGCCUAUCAUAUAACUUACCUUGAUCAAGCUUUGUAGUCUGUUCUGUACAAAAUCUUGGUAACCACUAAUAUUAUACUGUAGCUGCCUUAUGGGAAGGUCAUAGAAAUUGAUGUUUACGUCAUUGGUUCCUGCACUAAUAACAACCAAAGCACUAUUAAGGAUUUUCCUACUUUCAUCCACGCCUACUAUCCCUUGAAGCCUUCGAGUGUAAUUCUUGAACAUAUCAAUUUGCUUCAUCACAGAAAUUACAUUGGAUACAGAAGCAGUGAGUUCGUCGAAUCCCGAGCCGGCAGAUGCAAAACCGACUCGGUUUUCACAUCGUUGUCCACAAUUUAGGAUCUAAAAAUGGAGGAACAAGCUCCUUUAUCCCUAAUUUAGAGGCCACCAUAUCAGGAAUGAGUUUUCCAUCGCUGAACCUUCUAGUAGCAACAUGGCCAGGAAAAUCUGUGCCAUAUGGAGAGUAAUUGGCCUUAAAAAUUGUUGAAAUGAAGUUAUUAUUUCCAGUAUCUACUGUGGAAUCACCAAAUAUGAGAAUGGAAAGAAAAGAUCGAGUAAUUUUUGGCUCUAAAGCAGUGCAUGGUUUGCUAAGAAAUAGCAGCCAAAUCAUGUGGAGUGAUAGAGAAGCAAUAUGGUAAGUUGCUUUUGCCAUUGUUGGUGUUCUUCAAGUUAUUGUGUUUGAUAUAUUCAUGUUGCACACUGGUUGAUGUAUUUAUAAUGUUUGAAGGACAUAUGACUAAGCUCAUUGUGAUUUUUACAAAGAAACUGUUGAAACGAAUGAUAAUUCUUUUACUAAAAGGCUGAGUUAUUCUAUAA